rnacentral:lncRNA from 1 species
UGGAAUAGAAGACUCUAGACCACCUUCUUUUUCAUCCUUAAUUAUAGAAAAGAUUGGAUAAUAAUUAAGGUGUUUUGAAAGGAUGACGAAUACUCGGAUAAUCGAGUAAGACAACUCGUAUCCCAAUAACCGGGAAAGGGAAUAGAAGACUCUAAACCACUUUCUUUUUCAUCUGAGUGAUUAUGAAAAUAGGUUUGUG